UUUAUAUUUGAAAAAUAAAUCUAGCAUCCUGGUUUUCUCUGGGAAAAUCUUAAAGAUUUGCUAUAACUGAGCCUGCAUUUCCUUAACACAAAUCUGCUGGAGCUGAACAGUUGCUGCUGCUUCCUUUAAACUUGACCUCAAUCACGAAGGUCUUCAUCAACUCACUCAGUGCUUUCAGAUGUACUUAUACCCAGCACAUGCAUUGGCUAUGACCUUGCAGAAUUUGGCAUUAGCAACCUCAAAAACUCUGGAAAAGGCUUCAUUUUCUCCAGUCUCCUGGGAGAGUAGAGGAACCAUGAAGGCAGACCCAUCCAGAGAACACCUGCAACAGGCUGAGAAGCCAUUGGGAGACACACUUCUGAACACCACCAUUGGAAAAUCACACAUGCUGAAAUGGGAGAGUUCCUUGACCCCCUUGCAGGAUAUGUGACAGGGGUGUGGCUCAUCUGUUCGGCUAGAGUGCAUACUCAAACCCCCCUUAUGAGACAAGGAGUAUGCAGACAGAAGGUGCAGGAACUGGGAAGCAAAAUAUAAACUAGUU
rnacentral:lncRNA from 1 species